UUUGAAAUCCUUCUCUUUUUCGGGUACCCUUGAAGUGUGGUACUUGACUGAUAGCAAUAGGCUGUGGUUUUCGGAACCUGUUCAUCAUAUUUGGCCAAUAGAUAAUACGGGGUUUCCAUACCGGCCUUUCGACCUCAGGUAUUAGCCGUAUUUUAUUUCAUUAAUUGUGAGUUUCCCAUACUGGUCUUUCGACCUCAGGUAUUUGCCACCAUGUGUUGGGUCCGCCGGUCCCUCCCGCGUCCCUUACCUACCCGACCAUCAAUCAAGUACCAUACUCCCAUUUUCAAAACAUAUUCUCUCAUAUCACUAUGACUCAUCAAUCAUUCAAACAUCAUGCUGAACACAUAGCAAAAGUCAUAUUAAAGCACACAUAAUUAGGUUCUUAUGAUGAGCAAAUGAAUGCUUCAACUUACCUCAAAAUCAAUAUGGUUUAUGAAGUGAAAAGAUCAGUCUCAUAUAGGUUGUGCUAGAGUCCUUGAUUAUAGAUGAAUUCAAACUUCAAAACGUAAGAUUUCAGCUAGACAGGUGCAUAACUUGUUCUAGCUCUACUUCUAUGAGUUCUUAUGUUUGAUGUUCUCUUAUGUGAGUAUGGAAGUGAAGAAAUAUGAAGAGAAGCUUAAGGAAAUAGGUCUGGUCGGUUUUUGGAAGAAGACAAGUGAAAU
rnacentral:lncRNA from 1 species